AAAGCUAGAGCAAGAGAAAAUUGAAAAUAACAAGAAUACUUGUUAGUUGAAAGAAGGAAGGAUAACAAAAGGCUUAAUUACUCAAAUAUUGUAAAGUUUGCACUUCAAGAGGUAAAGAAAUCAUGUUUUUGUAUUUCUAGUUUAUGUUCUUAUGUUCUUGAGUAGGAUUCAUGAAAUAAUACAUGUUUAGGUUUAUGAUUAUGUAAUACAAUGUUAUCAAGUCAUAAAAGAUGAAAACUAGUUAAUUAACCCAAGUGGUAACUAGUUAGAGAGAUUAAAAGUAUGAAAUGAGAAACCCCUAAUCUGAACUGUUAUUGUAAAAGUUAUAUAAAAUCAUAUGUUUGGAAUUUGGUUAUGAAAUACAAAGCAAAAUUGUAAAGACGGAAGUUAUGAACGCGUGGGAUUUUGAACGACUCAAAAAUGUUUUAAAACGAAGAAGUUAUGGCCGUUUAACCGAGUCGGGGUUGGACUGCGAGCAAGUUGUCCACUUUAUAAAAAGUCCCUUAAAACUGAGUUUUUGAGUUUGAGCAUUUUAUUUUUACGAAUAAAACCACUAAUGAAAAUAGUCUAGUUAAGUUAUAAAAACACUUAUUAAGAAGUAAAAUUCCAUAAACUAACAUUCGGGUACACGUAACUCAUUAUGUAGGGUUUUAAACGUUUACCAGGAAAUCCUAGUUUGCAUUCGAGGCAAGUCUUCUAUCUCAAACCUAUGUGCAUCUAUUUCUAAGCUUGUUCAUGUGUAUGAAAGCCUAAUGUGAUUUUAAGUAGGAUAUGAUGAUUAAAUGUUAAGUGUUUAAUGAUAUGUUAUGCCAUAUAUGAUUAUGUUAUAUCAUUAAGCAUGAGUUAACAUGAUCGUUAACUGAAAGUUUUGUUAAGUCAAGCAUGUUAAAGUUUAUAUGAAAGCAUAAACUGUGUAUGUGUUAUUUGUUAGACUUGUUGAGUCGUUGUGCUCAUUCUUGCGAAUAAAACUUUAUUUGCAGUUAAAGAAGAAUGAUAAGAAAUCGUGAACGUAAAGAAUCAAUGUAGAUUAGGUUUUAUGUUUUACUUGUAUUUAUAUUAAAUCAUAAUGACUUCUGUAAUACGAACAAGCAAACCAUGUAAUCGAAGAUUAUAUUAAUAAUAUCAUGUUAUUAUCAUCAGAAUGGUAUUAUGUCUUUAAUUUGAUAUAACUUAGAAUUGUUGAAGAUCUAUUAAUCUGAGUGAGGGUAUUGGUAAUAUGGACUGAUCAUGUUAUGCCGAUACUCUGAACUUUAGAUAGAUAGAAAAACAUUAAUACAAUAUUGAUAAAGAACUAUAUAUCUGGAUGAAAAUAUUGAAUAACAUUGUGAGUGUUGUAAAAACAAAGAUUUAGCACCAAUAAAGAAAUCAAAUACAUCGCAAGGUUCCUCUGUUCCAAAUACAAGUGUGUUAUUAAUAUUGUGAAAUUUAGAUAAAUAAGAAAUAUCGAUAUGAAAAUAUAUCUUUAUAAUAAUAUGUAUCUAAGUGAGUGUAUUGAAUGAUAUUGGGAGUUCUAUAAGCACUACACUAAUGAGCAUCGGUAUCAGAAUGCGACCCUCUGUUGCUAAGAACAAUAUUUGUUAUUAAUACGGUGAACCUUGGAUAUAUAGAAGUCUAGAAUGUCUAAAUCAUAAGGUUAAAAUUUUGAUCGAUAUAUAUAUAUAUAUAUAUAUGGUGUUAUCCAUAUAUACGAAUGAACUACAAGUUGAUACUUGUAGAAAGAAUGAGAUCGAGAUCAAGUUACGAUCCAGAGAUGAAGUUAAGGAAAUUUAUAAUUUUAUAGUCUGUAAUACACUAAUUCAACCAAUAUGAUUAUAAGAUCAUUGGUUAAGUUACGAAAGAUGAUGAGUUAAGUCGAAUCCUUGUUCGGGCGGCCAGGGCUCGAAUUCGGGAACGUUACACCAACACCAGGAGAUGAAAACGGUGGCCAAAGGAUUAGGAUCCAUGUUAACUUUUUUUCCCUUUCGUACCACACAACCUACUUAUAGACGAAAAAUGACAGAGGAUCAUAUUAUCAACUGCACUGGAAUAUGUAGAUGCUAAAGUUACCGUUUUCCAACAAGAAAUAUUUUUUGUUCUUUUAAUUUCAACUCAACAUUGUAAUAUCCGAAUGAAAAAAAAAAAGUAAUAAUAUAAUAAAAAAUAUAUAUAUACAUAUAGGUAAUGAAAAAGUAAUUAUUAGUAUCUUAAACCUAUUAGGAUAAGUCAAUUAAACUGUAACAAUCUUUUAAUUUCAAAGAGAACUCUUUUACUUGUUAACCUAUUUUGCAAAGGAAUUAAAUAUAUUUAAAUAACUAGAGAGAGAAGAACGUAAAAAUUAUUUGGCUUUAGAGUACUGCAGAACAGAGAAGAAAAGAAGAAAACUCAAAUGUAAACCUAAACCCUUCUCUUUCAUUUAUAAGUUAAUUCAUAUUUGUAAUUAGAAAUUUUAAAUCAAUGAUUAUAAUAUAUACUCUAUCUGAAUAAAAGAGAUUUUGAAAUACUAUUCAUAUUUUGUGGGAGUAACCUGUUUAAUAAGCUCGUGUGCGCGUUUAAGGGGAGUGCAAAAUCUGAUUGUUCAUGGUCUAUGAAUAUAUAUGUGAAGUGUUGCAGUAAUUUUAUAUAUACUACAAAUAUUUCGAGAGCACAUAACAUCAUAUAUAUAUGUGUAUUAUAUAUAAUACAUAUAGUACAUCAGUAGCUUUUGUGCACAUAUUAUAUAUUAUUUAAAGUAUUUUGUAUGGUAGUUAGGCCUUGCCACGUAAUGGCAGUGUGCCUAGUUUCCCUUGUUCCAUGGUGGAUACUAUCAUGUUUCUUUAAAGUAAUGACAGUCUGCUUUUAAUCAGUUUAUAUCUUGUAUAUAUAUAUAUAUAUAUAUAUAUAUACACACACACACACACACACACAUAUAUAUAUAUAUAUAAUAGGCUUAUUUAUAUAGAUAAAUAGCAUAAUAAUUGAUAAGAUAAGAACACAACUUAUUUUCUUUAUUAAAUUUAUAUUUCAGCACUUAAACUCUCUUGUGAUUAAUUUCUAGUGUAAAAUUUAUUAAGAACUGAAUCAAGUUAGGUAUAUGUGUGUGUAAAAUGAACAGCUACUAGAAUGAAAGUAGUCGCCACUAAGCAAAGCUAUUCGAAAGCUUAUUGGAGGCCCCAGAAACAACUGGUGGGACUAAGCUUUCUAUUUGAGGGGGCAUGGAGUAGAAUAAGGUCAAUGUAAGUAGUUUUUUCGACCAUAGGAUCCAAACGGAUCAACCUUGUUGGGAGGUACUGCCCAAGGAAAGGAAAUACGUUUGAGUUUGGAUAUCUUAUCCUAAUGAUUUGUACAUGUUCUAAUUUUAUAUUUAGGAUUUGUUCACUUUUAAUUGUGUUUUGCAAUAUUGAGAUAAGUGGCUCUCUGAACUAUUUAGUAUUUUGAAAUUAUGUAUUGUUAGCGAUUUUCCGAACUAUUUAGUUUUUUAAAUUAUCGUUUACUUUUAUGUAUGCCUUAGAAAUUACUCGGAUGCCUAAAUGUACUAUUUCAAAAUUUGUUUAAGGCUUCCAUUUAAAUAAAAAUGAUACGUUCUUCUAUUUCAAACUUCGGAUCAAGUAUUUAUUUUUGAACUGUGAAAUACGAUUAUAUGAUUUUGAACUAUGAAAUAAGUAUAGUUUUGAAUACCAAUGAGAUUGUGAAACGUUUUUGAAAUCCUCAGUUCGACUAUGUAUAGAAAGGUGUUUACACUUAGUUUCGAAGCUAAUAUAGGACCUACUAUGGCGCACACCUUUUAGAUGCCCUUUGGGGAGCAUGCAUUUUAUAUUAUAGAUACCUUAGUAGGGUACGUGAUCAUUGACAUUAUCGAACUUUGGGGCCGUGUUAUAAGGUCGCUAAAGCUGUGGAUUAAAAGAUAUAUUGCAUACAUUGAAAUCAUUUUUAAAUAUGAAUUCGCUUUUUUGCUUUGUUAUUAAUUGUUUUAGUUUUGAAAACGAACCUACUAAUGUUAUCAAACAAGAGUUAUUUCUAAAAUGUGUUUUGCAAAUUAUGCUUGAUCCACCUAAAUAGUAAAGAUUGUCACUUGCUGAGCUUUAUCGCUCAGCCCUUACCCCUUACAUAAAUUUUUACAGGUCGCAUCAUUGAUAGUUGAGCAUUUGUUUGAUACACUUGGGAUAGUUGGAGUUUAGUUUUAGAUGUUAUUUCUUUUUGUUGUUGAAUUUUGAUAAAACUCUUAGUUUCGGGGAGCUGCGUUUUACGAUUUUGGUAUUUAGUGGUAUUUUAUUUUGAAUUGGAUCGAGGGAUGUUUAUUGUUGGGUUUUAAAUGUUGGGUUGUGCGCUAUUGAUAUUUUUGUCUCGCAGGUUUUUGGGCUUGCAACAUGUAACACUUCGGACCUGUAGCGCUUUCGGGGUUGUUACAAACAUAAUACCAUAAAAAUAUUUCAAAUUUACCUGUAAGUUGUUCCAAGAGUUUGAGAAUUGUGAAUAAAUUUUAAAAGAGGGGUGCAAGGAAAAGAUAGUAUGAACUUUUCUGUGGUAAAUGUUACAAAAAAAGAUCAAGUGUGACAUGGAUAAAAAAACUUGCCUGUCAUUUCUUAAAGCAACCAAGCUUGAAACAACAUCAGCAGAAAGAGCAUAUAAUGGACCAUAAGCAUGCAUAAAGUACUCUUUUCCAAGCAAAUGCGAAAGUGGCUCAUACCUGCAUGAGUAAAACUGAUCUGAUUACCUCUCAAUCAUAAUUAAAGUUUUUAUAGAUAAAAUUCAAUCAUAAUUAUCAUAAUUAUAUUUAUAUAUCAGGCAUCAAGUUCGAGUCAUCGAUAGUUGAAUCCACUGCCUAACUUCUUGUAGCUACGGAUAGUUGUCUCAUUUCUUUAUUAGUUGAAUUAUUUUUCCCUCCUCAUCCCUCAAGAAGUUGAAUUACUUUUACCUUAUUUUUACCGAGCAACAUCUAGCAUAGUAGCAUUUCAUAUUAAGUAGCAUCCAGUAAAGCAGGUUCAGAAAAAAUUCAAAGAUUAACAUUCGUUAAGCUAAAUUCACAAGCUAUUAGGCGAGGUUUGGAACCCUAAUACGUAAGAGGCACAGCAUAAAUACCAGUAUUAGGUAAAAAAGGACAUCACAAAGCCUUAACAAAUAUAUACAAAGAGGACAAAAUGAAAGGAAAAAUGCAAAUCAAAGAAACUACAUUCUACACAUAGGCAAAUUUAAUAGGACUACGUCGCUAACCAUUUUAGUUUGGGGUCAGUGAAAACAGGACCCUUUUUCAUGCAUCCAAGGUAUGUUUGACUGUGAGAAUGUUCUUUAGCCAAAAGCAGUGAAAGCCGAUCUAGCAAUGGUUCAAACCAGGGAAUAAAGUUAUUGCAUGUAAAGUUGUAAACGAAAAUGCAAAUAAAAUCUCAUGAAUAAGAUGAUAAAAUGUAUAAAGUCCUGAAUCUAGUCACCUGGCCUCAAAUAUAUGUCAUCAUCAGCUUUAACAUAAAAGUCAGAAUCAUAAAGUGCAUAGGCAGCUUUGAAAAAGGCUAACCUGAAAUAAACACACAAGUUCAUAUGAGUAACAGACUACAUACAUAGCUAAUUUAAUAAUUUUACCAUCAGCACUAACGUUUUAUAUGGGAGCUUACUAUACUCCUCUUCAAUAUCUAAGAGCAAGAAGUCAUCAAAUUCUGCAACCUCCUUCCUGAGCUCUGACAUUUUCGAUUUAUCACCUGUUCUACCAAUAAUAAAUCUGAAGACCAAACCAGUGGCUUCUUCCAAGCUGCCAUCCAUUUGAAGAGAACAAUUAAACAGAAAACAAGAGUACCAAUUUGCAUAAUGCCUACUGAAAUAUAAGUGAAAUCGCAAUUGCUAGAACAAUGACAAAAUAACAACUGGCAUUGAGAACCAUUACGAAACUUAAACAAUAAUUACUAAUACUGCUAAUAAGACAGUGAAAAAAAUGCACAUAGAAGCCUAAAUAGGGUGUAAAAUUCAAUUUUCAAACAAAUUCUAUUUAUGUAGUCAACUGAAAGCUGAUCUUAUUUAUCUCAUGAAUGUGAUGACACAUUGAACAUAGUUUAUUAGUUUCUAUCUAAGGUAUAAGAUAUGGACUUGAGAUAUAGAUCCAAUCAAAUACGGAAACACAUCGUUGAUAAAAAGAAGUUGGAGAUUGACACUAUGAUGCAGCAACAGGUGACCAUAGCAGUCAUAACACAUUAUCCAAAAGACCACCUAGACCCUAACAAACUUUUUCUUUUUGUUAUUUUUUAUCAACAUCAAACUAUUUAAAGAAUUGUUAAAAGUUAAAACUUUCAUUGAGCAUGUAAAAUGCUGAAUUUUAUGCAAACCGCUGUAAUAAUAGCCAAGCCUUGUAACUUCUGUCUAAUGCUCAAUAAAUGCCUAUUUAAGCACAAAAGGACAUUAAAUUUUCAUUUCAAAAAGUAAAUCAGAAAAUAGUCCCGGAUCACAUGUUAUAAAUCAAUGCAUCAAAGCAACAACUGAAGCCAAUAACUCAUUAAUAAUCACAGUGAUCUAAAUACAAGUACAUGUAUAUAUACAUGUUCAAAUUUAUAAUGUAUGUAACCGAAAAGGGGGAAAUGAAGUUAUACCGUUGAAGGCCUUGGUGAUCAGAAGGCAUCCAAGUCUUGCGGAGUGACCGCCGCCUUCCAGAAGAUCCAAACCCAGUUUGAAUCCCCACAAACCCCAUAACCUUAUGCCUCUUCGGAUCACUAUCAGAAACGACACCGUUACCAUUUCCUCCUCCGCCACCAUUUCCAUUCUUCUCCCAAACAACAGAAACAGAUCUGGGCUUACCAUAUUUACAUCUAUACCCCAAAUUCUGCCUCGAAAUUACUAUAAAGCCGAUGAAAAAACCGACGAAUCCGAUCAGGAAACAGACGAUAAGAGCCGUUGAUCUGCGAGUGUAAGACGAAGAGCGAGCAUGGAAGAAUUUGGGAGACGAAGGCAUGUCGAGAUUGGAUCGGUAUUUGGCAUCCAAUAAACCCUAGAUUCAACACAAACUUAAUCUAGGGUUUGUUCAUGGAUCGUAUGAAUAUGAAUCUAACGCUGUUGGUGAAUGGCGGAGGCCAGUGAUGGAAUGGCGGGAUCUAUUUCAGUUGAGUGUUUGGUCGUUAGUCAAAAUGUCUGUUUUUUCAGUUCUUCGUCCAUCAACUGAAUCUGGCAACACGAUCAAGUACUAUUUCUAUUUGUGAGUUUUGGACAUGAAACAAAGAUGUUACAAAACUUUAUUAAAAUUUUUAUUUUUUAUUUGACAAAAAAAAAAGUUAAAAAAGUAAUGUUCAUCCUUUUCUUUUCUUAUUUUUUCACUCCCCAAGAAAACUACUCUAAAUCGACUUUUUAAAUUUUUUUAAUCAAAAAUAAAUUUUCCAUCUGUUUUUUGAAAAAAAAAAAACAUGAAGGUGAGCAAGUGAGGGAGCCUUCAAAAUCAAGGUUAUUCCGACCGUUCAUCGAACUUACUGGGUGGGUGGGUUACUGGUCCAACCAGUGAUCAAACCGUUAUUAAUUCAGUAAUGUCAUUAAUAUAUAUAUAUACGGUCCGGCUCUAAAGCGAACCUUAAAGAGCGAACGAAAGACGAACCGUCGUCUUUGGUGUCUAUGGCGACGGUUCGAUUCGUCGCCAUAGCCAUGUAGUCUUUGGCGACGGGUGACGGGUCGAACCGUCGCCAUAGACACCAAAAACAACAGUUCGUCUUUGGUUCGCUUUUUAAGGUUCGUUUUAGAACUUCUCCGUAUAUAUAUAUAUAAAGAAACAGUCUGUUNNNNNNNNNNNNNNNNNNNNNNNNNNNNNNNNNNNNNNNNNNNNNNNNNNNNNNNNNNNNNNNNNNNNNNNNNNNNNNNNNNNNNNNNNNNNNNNNNNNNAUAUAUAUAUAUAUAUAUAUAUAUAUAUAUAUAUAUAUUCUGCCCAAUAAGAAUAUUUGUGUCGUGAGAAAAAAAUUAAUUGGAGACCAGGAUAGAAAAAUAAGUAAAUUUUUGUUGAUACCUGAUUGAGAAUUUGAGACCAUGAACUCUUACAUUUAUGGCAUAACCAACUGGAUUCUUCACUAAUGUAUCAUUUGAUUUUUAACAUCUUUCACUUGAAGAUCACUAGUUACAACCUUUUUUAAGUUUUCACUGCUGCCAGAUAAUGUGAUUUUGUAUACCAUGCAAAAUUAUGUCCUAAAUCUCUAAUUUUCCUUUUUUGGGCAUUAAAAACAAAACAAAACAAAACAAAACAAAACUAGGCCUAGACUAAAAUCUCUAUGAUUUUAACUUUGUACCACAGUUACCUUCACUGCCUUUCUAGACCUCUAAGCACUUCUUCUAAUGCAUGCUACAAGUUUCCUCAACUGCUUCAUUCAUCAUUUCUUUGCAAUAAAUUACUUUCCUCCUGCUGUUCAGUCAAAGGAAAUUGUUUGUCAAUAUACACUUCCAUGGCAUCUACAUGACAAACUAUUGCCAACUGAUUUCCUCCUAAAGUUGUGGCUGUUUCUUCGCAGGACAACUUCGAAAACUGGUGAUCCAAAUCUUCAUCCUCGUCUUUCUCCACUUGUAUGACGACUUCGUCAUUGGGUCUGAUUUCUGUGCUGCCAUCUAGUUCCUCGGUGCACAAGUUUUCUUCGGGUUCUUGUGAAGGCUCAAUUAUGUGGCCUUCGUCGGG
rnacentral:lncRNA from 1 species